AAGUCGAACGCGUUGGCCCAAUUGAUUGAUGGUGCUUGCACCUGAUUGAUUUUGGUCGCCAACGAGUGGCGGACGGGUGAGUAACACGUAGGUAACCUGCCCAGAAGCGGGGGACAACAUUUGGAAACAGAUGCUAAUACCGCAUAACAACGUUGUUCGCAUGAACAACGCUUAAAAGAUGGCUUCUCGCUAUCACUUCUGGAUGGACCUGCGGUGCAUUAGCUUGUUGGUGGGGUAAUGGCCUACCAAGGCGAUGAUGCAUAGCCGAGUUGAGAGACUGAUCGGCCACAAUGGGACUGAGACACGGCCCAUACUCCUACGGGAGGCAGCAGUAGGGAAUCUUCCACAAUGGGCGCAAGCCUGAUGGAGCAACACCGCGUGAGUGAAGAAGGGUUUCGGCUCGUAAAGCUCUGUUGUUAAAGAAGAACACGUAUGAGAGUAACUGUUCAUACGUUGACGGUAUUUAACCAGAAAGUCACGGCUAACUACGUG
rnacentral:rRNA from 1 species